rnacentral:rRNA from 1 species
GAUGAACGCUGGCGGCGUGCCUAAUACAUGCGAGUCGAGCGAACGGACGAGAAGCUUGCUUUUCUGAUGUUAGCGGCGGACGGGUGAGUAACACGUGGAUAACCUGCCUAUAAGACUGGGAUAACUUCGGGAAACCGGAGCUAAUACCGGAUAAUAUUUUGAACCGCAUGGUUCAAAAGUGAAAGACGGUCUUGCUGUCACUUAUAGAUGGAUCCGCGCUGCAUUAGCUAGUUGGUAAGGUAACGGCUUACCAAGGCAACGAUGCAUAGCCGACCUGAGAGGGUGAUCGGCCACACUGGAACUGAGACACGGUCCAGACUCCUACGGGAGGCAGCAGUAGGGAAUCUUCCGCAAUGGGCGAAAGCCUGACGGAGCAACGCCGCGUGAGUGAUGAAGGUCUUCGGAUCGUAAAACUCUGUUAUUAGGGAAGAACAUAUGUGUAAGUAACUGUGCACAUCUUGACGGUACCUAAUCAGAAAGCCACGGCUAACUACGUG